rnacentral:lncRNA from 1 species
AUUCAUGCUGCAGCACUUUUAUUUUGUGAUGUGUGAAUUUUUGUAAAAGAAAAUUUGUUCAAAAUUCAAUUUGAAUGAAGCUUUAAAAAUUAGUUUGAAAAAAAAAGAAGAAAUCCAUCCCCCCGCUUUCGGCAAACUUGGCCCAAACCAGCCCAACGCCAGCACCCUCCUCUCCCCCUUCCUCUCUCUCACUGCCAGGCGGGGCCCGCCUGUCAUCCCUCUCCUCCCGCAACUGCUCCCUCCCUCUCUCUGUUCUCAGCACAACCGCCCGAGCCGCCCCGCUCCCACGUUCUUCACCCCUUCUUCCCCUGCGCCUCGGCUAUUUCGAACUGCACCCGCACCCGAGCCUUCAUCCGUGCCUCAAUUCGCUCUGCACUCGCCCCUGCCCCCGCUCGCUACGUGCAGUAGCCGUUGCAAGGACACCGCCGGCGACCUCUAUGCGAAAUCCAUCGGUCCAAGCCGUCCUCACCGUUUCUGUCGCGCUGGUGAGCUCUCCUACCUUCCCCGCAUUCUUCUCGGCCAAGUCCUAGGCUUUUGCGUGCCCCUAGCCUCCCGGCCGCGAGCUCCGGCGAGCUCCAUGGCCGCCGGCCAUGGAGCGUGUCGCUCGGGUCUCUCCCCGGCGGCGCUGAGGGCAUGGGUGUGUUCGCGUCGUCCUUCUCUCUCCCCCGGUGCUUUCGGAAUCGAAAACCGUGCACCGUAGCUCCCGAUCCAUUUGCGCCGGCGAGCUUUGGCCGGAAUCCAUGGCCACCGCCGUGUCUCUGCCCAGCGCCAGAAUCUGGCCGGUGUGCCACCCCCUCCCUCUUUCUCUUUUUUGUUCUUUUUUUUUCUUUUAAUCAAGCGCAUCCAAGCUUGAUCCAACGGCCAUGAUUAGAACUUACCCCUUCGCGGGGAUUUUUAUUAAAGAGCCACUCGACUUCAUAGAUAUAGAACCCGCAGUCCUCGGCCAACUCCAAAUCCAGAUUGAAAUUUGAUUUAAAUUUCAUUUUUGACUUCAAAUUAAUUACAGAAUUGCCACCGCAAUGUUUUGGCCAUAAAAUAUUCGUUUUAGCUCCGAUUUGUCCCGUACAAAUUGCGUUAGAUUCGUUUUCGCGAGAUCUACAUGUUAGUAAUCUUGGUUCAUCAGUUUGAAAUAUUUUAAUUUUGUGACCCUAUUUAAUUAAUUACUUUUCUAAAGAAAAUCUUAGAAAAUUCAUAUCUUCUCUAUUUUAGCUCCGAUUCGAUCCGUUCAAGUUGUGUUAGUUUCAUAAUUUUAUAAGCUUCGCGAUGGUAUCAUUGUUGCCUAGGUUCACCACUGUUAGAUUUCCUAGUUAAAUACAAGUCCGUAGAUAGCCUUUGCAGUCCCGUUUAAUGCGUAGAUUUCACGUCGUAACUUAGUUUUCCGUGAAUUUCCUGUUGACGUGAUCGUAGUAGCGUGUAGAUGAUUUUGGAAAACUUUUAUUAAAUUUAUUAACUGCUGGUGUACUGUUCUAAUUGCAAUCUUGUUUGCUUUGUGUAUGUCUGUCUUCGAUUGCUUGUGUGUUGAUGAUUGGUGACCGAGUUUAGUCACUGGGCAUUACUUCGGUGAUCAAGGUCAGAGCCGUGGAAGCAAGUAAGAUCAGCAGCACCAGCAGGAGCAAUUGGAUUAAGGCAAGUAUAGCAUUUGGGUUUUAAUUCUAUGACAAUGAUCUUGUGACUAGAUUAAUAUAAAGCAACAAAUGAUAAUAAUGACUUUUUAGCAACUUCAGGAUUUAUUCGUAAGUGAUAACUGUUGAUAUUUGGGAACGCAAUAAGGUAUUGAUCCGCAAGCGCACGGAAUUCGGUGAGCACUUCACCCGGGAGGUUAUCCAGAGUAUCGUAUUUAUUUUUUUACCACUAGGAGAAAGAGUGCAUCUGACUAACCGGUCUAUUACUACUAACCCUUUAGGCAACAAAGAAUGUCUCUCGAUGUGAGUGAUAAAUAGAGAAGACUACAACCGUAGUCUCCUUCUAACCUUGGUAAGGAUGAUCUACUGUUCUAUUGGGGAGGCUAACGGAAUCUAGACACCACAAAGGAUGUUCAACCCGCACCUAUAAACCCUAUCCUUACUGCUAACGAGAUAUGGUCUGCAAAGGUAACUCGAAAUUGUCACGUUCCUCACUACUACCACGGUCCAGUUAGGCAGGGAAUAUCUAUGAGUACCCCAGCCUAAACACCACGUUUACGCUAGCAAUGAUUACUCUAAACUCUACGCGAACAAAUUAAAGUAAACUCAUAAACCAGAAGAACAAUAAAACAAGAACUUACUAGAAUUUAGAAGUCAAAAUACUGAAGAAUCCUAGGAGCAAGCUUCGGGUUAGGAGAACUUGAUCCCGCAGGUACAAGCUUGGAGUAGACACCGACAGGCCGGGCUUCCUCCAAUCUACACCUCCACUCUAUCUCUCUCAAUCUAGUAGAAACUAGAAGAUCUAUUUCUACUUUACAUUGGUUGCUAUGCCUAAAAAGAAAUAUUAAUUAGAGAAGAGGUUUUCCUUCGAGGGCACCCCUCAAUCUCUAUGAUAAUUUCUUGUUUUCUCUACGGGCCAGGGGGGUCUCCUUAUAUAGUCCUCCUCCUCUAUGCGUUUUUGGGUCGGUAGGCGAGGUGGUACUACGUUAUCUUUGAUCCAUUAGGUCGGUGGAACAUCGUGUGCGAAGAGAGUCCUGAAUGGAGUCCAGCAGGGGGCGGGCGCCCUGGGCCUGGCCCCUUUCGGCCUCUGCCUUCUUCCCGUGGCUUCUGGAGUCUUCUAGAUGGUAGAAAAUCGCGCGGUGCGUUGAUAUCUCUAUGUAAUCCCGACAUGUGGGCCUUUCUUCCUUAUUUCCUGAUAACCCCCUGCAGAAACAGAUAAACAACAAAACUCGUGGAAUUAUGUCAGAUCAAACCCUAAUUCUAGGUGUUGGUUGCAUAUUGGUCCUUUCCCUUGUUUAUUUGAUAAUUAAAAUUGAUACUUAAGAACCGUCAACAAAUACCCCCAUACUUAGGCUUUUACUCGUCCUCGAGAAAAGGAUGGUUAAGAAUAAUAUCUAGGGUAAGACAUUUUAAAACAUUCUUUUCAUAACUGUCGGGUGUUAAAAUUCCACUGUGUAUUAUAGUCUGGGAAGUAUAUGGUUAAGAGUAAAGAUCCUUUCUUCUCAAUCUUGGCACUUGGAGUUGUUGUAAAUUUUUUAAAGAAAGUUAGCAUACCUUUUUAUCCUCAUAGGUUCUCUCAGAUCACUCAUUAUCUUUUAUAUAUCUCACUGAGGCUGUUUGCAAAAAAUUCUCAAGCAUACUUACUUUGCAUUUAUUGCCUGAUCAAAACGGGAUCCGAGGAGGGGAAUGUCAUACUCUUAGAUCAAAGACUUUGGAAAUUAAAAUCUUGUCAACUCUUGCUGGCAUAUUGCUUAUUAGAGGGACCAUGGGCUAUCAUUUUUUUCUCUCUCUUUUUUUUAAGUGGAUACCGAGGUACCCCUAAUUCUACUGUGGGACACUUGUCCAUUUUUCUGCGAGGUUGUCGAGCACUUGCUCCUUUUUAUUUCCUCGAAAUAUCUCUAUUUUUGCAUAGCCCAUGCCUCUAAUGCAAUAAUACUUUGGAAGAGUGAAUCUUUCUGAAUAAUGCCUUGAUCUUAGGAGCAUGAUAAAUCUCUCAACAAGGGUCUAACUCAUUUUGAACAAACUCAAUACAGAGUAGAUAGCUUUUAUAAUCAUAAUUAAUAUUUUCAGUUUUUAUCAGGCAUAUAAAACACUGAGGAUGGUAGCUAGAAUUUUGAAAUAAAUUCUCCAAGCAACAAUGAUAUCAAGAAUAAGAAACUCAUACUCUACCAUCUCACAUUCCAUACUGUCUUAAGUAACCUAGGGUUUUGAAAGGAUUUUAUAGUAGUUAUAAGUUUUAGAAAAUAUCACAGAGUGAGAUUAAUUAUGAUUAGAAAUAUUUUAAUCUUUUUAAUCAUGUCAGAAACAAUAUUUUGCAUAAUCCAAGAUAUGUGUACGUGUAAAGUAAAGUGUGCAGAGUGUGUACCCGAAUCGUGGAGUGGUGUGGUCGGAGUGUGUUUGGCAUGUUGAGGGAUCUCCCCCAUACUUGUUUUCUGCUUUCUUGCACAAAAAUAAAGUAGAGACACACAAGACAUAAUAAUAAUAAUACUCUUUAUUAAUCUUGAGGCAUUUAUGACAAAAGACUAGUAGCAAACUUAUAGCAAACUGAUGAUAAUAGUAAACCUAAACCGAAUUUAAAGAUAAAUGACUAAGAUGCAUUGCCUCAAGGUCUAAUCUAGAUAACUUAGCGGCGCUCUAAUUCCUUAAUCUUCUUGUUGGCACUAGCAAGAUCCUGCCUAAGGCCUAGUAUAAUGGUGUUGUGGUUAGAGAGCUGCCUAGUGAGGGAAUUAAUCGAGGACUGGAGGUCUAUGAUAACUCUGUCUAGUCUGCGAACGUCCUCAUCAAUAUCCAUUAUAGUCUUGCGACGCUUGGGAGGUGUCUCAAAAGUAUUGAGAGCAUGCUUCAGGGCUGCCUUUGGAGGGAUGAAACGGACUUUGGCUGCUCUAAUCCCUUCAAAGUAAGGCCUUUCCUCCUCCGUAGUGUAGCCAAUACUGCUGAUCUCGCCGCUCUGGUUGGUCUUGACUCCAACGACCCUCUCAUUGGGUCUAGGUGGAAGGAUUCUUGUGCCGGUUGACACCUUGAUGGUGGUCUUUGUCUUGGAUAAUGAUCCCUUUAGAAGUAGGGGUUGUGGCGGUGCGGUGAGAACUGGUUGAGCAUGGUAGGAUUGGGUGGAGCUGCGUUGGCGUAAUGGCAUGGCUUCUAGCUAUCGCUCUGUGUUGGCCGGGACGAGAGCACGGGCAUAGGGGUCUUCCACAGGCUCCAUGUUGAGGUUGAAGGGGACGACUUCCCAAUCAUCGUGGUACUUCUCGGCCAUUGGAGCAGCAAGGAACUAAUCAAGCUCUAAUUGAAGGAGAGAAGGCUUGGUGGCUUGGUGUUUGAAAACUGAGGUCAGGGGUCUGUUUAUAUAGGGGUCAAAAAGUGCCUCUAUGGGUUGUUCGGGUUGCUCCCGUCGAUGUGCGUGCGAAACUUUCCAUCUGAGGGAUUAUUCGGAUUACCAUAAGUGCAUUUUCCAUAACAGAGAAAAUCGGGACCGAGGGGGAACAGGAGUUGGGCGCCCGCCCACCUGAUCUGGGCGCCCGUCCUCUCUCUUUCCCCUCCGCGGGCCCACUUCCUCGAGCGCGUUUCUAGAUGCAGACUUAAUUAGGAAAAUAUAUGUAUGACCCGAAAACGUCAGACUAAAAAGGUCGGGCUCUAAUUCUCCAUGGGAAGGAAAAAAUGGACUACAUCUAUUUCUUCUAAUUCUUUAUUGGGCUCUAAAAAUAAUUUAAGACGUUGACCAUUUACCUUGAAUAACGUACCUUCGUCAUUUUGAAGUGUGAUAGCUCCGUGGGAUGAUGAAUUAAUUACCUUGAAUGGUCCUUCCCAUUUGCUCCGGAGUUUUCCAUGCCCGAAAAGCUUCACCCUGGAAUUAAAAAGUAAUACCUUAUCUCCGGGUGUAAACUCCUUCUUCUUGAUUCUCUUGUCAUGCCACCUUUUGACUCUUUCUUUGUAGAUCUUUGAGUUGUGAUAUGCCUUCUCUCGCCAUUCUUCCAAUUCUGAUAGUUGCAUUCUUCUAUAAUCUCCAGCAACAUCUAGGUCCAUAUUCCAUCUCUUUAUGGCCCAGUGUGCUUUGAACUCUAGUUCAACAGGUAGAUGGCAAAUCUUCCCGUACACCAAUUGGUAUGGAGACAUUCCAAUUGGGGUCUUGUAUGCUGUCCGGUAUGCCCAGAGUGCAUCGGGUAACUUGUCUUUCCACGCCGUUCCCAUUUCAUUUACUGUCUUCUGAAGAAUAUUCUUAAUUUGCUUGUUGGAAGUCUCUGCUUCACCACUUGUCUAAGGAUGAUAGGGGGUAGCAACGUUGUGACGGAUUCCAUGUUUUGAUAGAUAUUGCAUGAAGCGUUUAUCGAUGAAGUGUGCUCCUCCAUCACUUAUCACUACUCUGGGGACUCCAAAUCUUGGAAAUAUAAUUUCUUCAAACAUCCUCUUUGAACUGACGUUGUCGGCAUGCUUGCAAGGUAGUGCCUCUACCCACUUGGAUACGUAGUCAACUGCCACCAAGAUGUACUCACACUUCUUUGAUGGAGGAAAUGGACCCAUGUAGUCUAUUCCCCAGACAUCAAAGAGCUCAAUCUGAAGGUUGUUGGUGAGUGGCAUUGCAUCCCUUGUAUUUAUGUUUCCGUGUCUUUGACAUGGCCCACAUCUUCUGAUAUAUUGCUUCGUGUCUUCAUACAUUGUAGGCCAGUAGAAUCCACACUGCCAGAUCUUUGAAUGUGUACGGAAUGCUCCAUAGUGACCUCCAUAUGGUGAUGAAUGACAUCUGUCAAUGAUCUUCCAUCCUUCCUCAGUGGUCACACAUCUCCUGAGUAAGCCAUCAGAGCAUACUCGGAAGAGGUAUGGCUCAUCCCAUAUAUGUGAACGACUUUCUUAAAUAAGUUUCUUCUUAUUUGCUCCUGGUGGUACAUACCCUGAAACCAUAAAAUUGACAAUAUCUGCAUACCAGGGGUCAGACUUGUUAAUCCCGUAGAGCAUGUCGUCCCGGAGUGAAUCGUUGAUGGGGGUUUCCUGUGGACUCUUAAAAUACAUUCUAGACAAGUGAUCCGCAACAGAAUUUUCUACUCCCUUUUUAUCUUUUAUUUCUAAGUCAAAUUCUUGGAGUAAUAAGAUCCAUCUAAUCAGGCGCGGUUUAGCAUCUUUUUUAGUGAGCAAAUAUUUUAGUGCAGCAUGAUCAGUGUAAACAAUUAUUUUAGCUCCAACUAAAUAAGAUCUAAAUUUAUCAAUGGCAAAGACAACAGCCAAAAGCUCUUUUUCAGUGGUUGCAUAAUUAAGUUGAGCUCCUGUCAAAGUUUUACUAGCAUAAGCAAUUGCAUGAUGCUUCUUUAUUUUUAGUUUGUCCUAAAACUGCCCCCACAGCAUAAUCACUGGCAUCACACAUAAUUUCAAAAGGCAACGACAAUCAGGGGGUUGAAUGAUUGGUGCAGAGAUGAGUGCUUUCUUUAAUAAAUUGAAAGAUGUUAGACAUGCAUCAUCAAAUUCGAAAGGAGCAUCCUUGGCUAGCAAAAGAGUAAGUGGUCUAGCAAUAAAUGAAAAAUCUUUUAUGAAUCUACGAUAAAAACCAGCAUGGCCAAGAAAGCUUCGAAUUCCUUUUAUAUUCACAGGUGGAGGUAGUUGUUCAAUUACUUCAAUUUUAGCUUUAUCUACCUCAAUACCUCUUUCAGACACUAAGUGUCCCAGCACUAUUCCUUCCCUAACCAUAAAAUGACAUUUUUCCCAAUUAAGGACUAAGUGCUUUUCUUCACAUCUUUGCAAAACCUUGUCUAAGUUUUCAAGACAACUAUCAAAAGUUUUUCCAUAAACAGAGAAAUCAUCAAUGAAAACUUCCAUAAUCUCUUCAAUCAUAUCAGAAAAUAUAGACAUCAUGCAUCUUUGAAAAGAAGCUGGUGCAUUACAUAACCCAAAAGACAUUCUACGAUAAGCAUAAGUUCCAUAAGGGCAUGUAAAAGUGGUUUUGCUUUGAUCAUCGGGAUGGAUCGGGAUCUGAUGAUACCCUGAAUAUCCAUCUAAGAAAGAGAAGAACGAAUGGUUCGCUAACCGCUCUAGCAUCUCAUCUAUGAAAGGUAAAGGAAAGUGAUCCUUUCUCGUGGCUUUGUUUAAUUUUCUAUAGUCUAUGCACAUCCGCCAUCCUGUGACGGUGCGUUGCGGAAUUAGCUCAUUCUUUUCAUUCAUAAUAACAGUCAUGCCUCCCUUUUUAGGCACAACUUGAACUGGGCUCACCCACUCACUAUGCGGCACAGGAUAUAUAAUCCCUGCAUGCAGCAACUUUAUAACUUCCUUUUUAACUACCUCUCUCAUAGUGUUGUUAAGUCUACGUUAGGGUUCUCGAGAAGGUGAAACAGAAGGAUCUGUUGGAAUACGAUGGGUACAAAUCAUAGGACUGAUUCUUGUAAGAUCUUGGAGUGAGUAGCCGAAAACUGAGUGAUGUUUUUCAAGAGUGGUCAUUAAUCGCAGAGUUUGCUCCUGAGUGAGUUUAUCGCUAAUGAUCACAGGAAACUCUGGAUUAUUGUUUAAGAAAGCAUAGAUAAGACCGGGUGGUAAGGUUUCAAGCUCUAUGGGAGGUCUAGGUGUUUCUGCAAACUCAUCUAAGGGUUCAGGUUCAGAAGGUUCGGCUUCUUCUUCUAUGAAGAAAGGAGUUUCGUCUUCUAAGUCUGAUUCUUCUAAAUGCUCAAGAGAUGCAGCCUUUACCUCCUCUAUAGGAUCAGGCAAAAGAUAUGACUCGGCCUUAUUGUUUAAGGAGUGUGAAAUUGUUAUUGGGAAUUUUAAGUUUUUCCAAAAGAAAUGUGUAGCUUUCCAGUAUGACCUUCAUAGAGGAGUCUUCUAAAAGGUUGUCCUAUCAACAGGUCGAAGUCCCAUGUAUCAAAGAUAUAGAAGUUCAAAUGAACCAUGGAGCCUUCUACCGUAAGAGGUAGGACAUUAAUAAUUCUAAGACUGGGGACUAAUCGUCCCGAAGAUUCCUUUAUGACCUUUGUUGUGGGGGUUAAGACAACAUUUUUAAAUAGUUUAAGUGCAAAAGAUUCAGACAUGAUGUUGAUGCCCACAACAAGAUUAUAAAGAGCAUUAAAUCGAUCAGAAUUAUAAGCACAGCGUAUAGUUAUAGAGGGUGUGUCCAAACGGAUCACAUCAGAGGAAAGCUCUGAUUCCUCCAACCACUCGCUACUUAUUACUGAGAUAAGCUCUCUCAAUUGAUAUUCACUUGGUAAAUAAAUGCUAAACUGGCCGUUUUGGGGUUUGUCAAUAGAAUGGUAGUUUGAAAUGUUUCCGAAAUCAGCAAAAAGAUCGGAUUCUAUAUCCAUCAUGAAGUCUGGUGGUGGAAUUUCUUCCUCUUGUGGCUCAGAACUUGGGAUAGCUAAAGUAGAUAAAGAAUUUGGCAGAGUGUCUACUUCGGCUUCGUAGGUUUCAUCAUGAAGGGUAUUAUCCAUCUCAGCUUCUAGGAUUCUAUCUAGGAUCACUCUAGCUUCAUCAGUAGGGAUGCGAAAGAAAGAACCUCUAGACAUUGUGUGUAGCAUUUGUUUGUGAUUUUUCUGAAGACCUCGAAAAAAGUGAAAUAAAAGAACAGGAUCUUCAAGAUUAAGGUUUGGACCAGAUUCUAAAAGAUCAGAAAAAUGUUUCCAGGAUUUUCCCAAAGUUUCAUUAUCUUUUUGUUUAAAAGAUAGGACUUAGAGUCUAAGGUCGGCUAUACGGUCGAGGGAAUAUAAAUCUAGACAAAAGUUGGCUCGUAAAACUCCCCAUUCACCUCGUUGUUGACUUACCUUCUGACUGUACCAUUGUCUAGCUUCUCCCCUUAAGGAAAAAGGGAAAAGCUUCCAACGUAAAGUUUUAUCAGAAAUGCCUUCAAUGCGAAGACAAUCACAUGUUUGCUCAAAAUCUCUAAUGUGCAGGUAAGGGUUUUUUUCUUCCUUUUCCGAAAAAGAUAGGUUUUGAAUCAUGGCAAUCAACCUAGAACUUAACUUAUACUGAGAUGUUUGGAUAGGCUGUGAUGAUUCCCAUUGUAAAAGGUCAGUUACUGAAGGGAUUGCAGAUUCAUGGAUCGAUUUAGAAUUUUGGUUUUCCAUAAGGUAAGAGUAAAGAAAAUAAAUACAAAAUAUAAAAGAUAAGAAAAGAUAAAAGUAUAGAUACAAGCUAGUAGUAAGACUCAAGGUUAUCUCAGCAAACCGUCUUUCUCCCCGGCAACGACGCCAGAAAUGCUUGUUGAUAUUUGGGAACGCAAUAAGGAAUUGAUCCGCAAGCGCACGGAUAUCGGUGAGCACUUCACCCGGGAGGUUAUCCAGAGUAUCGUAUUUAUUUUUUUACCACUAGGAGAAAGAGUGCAUCUGACUAACCGGUCUAUUACUACUAACCCUUUAGGCAACAAAGAAUGUCUCUCGAUGUGAGUGAUAAAUAGAGAAGACUACAACUGUAGUCUCCUUUUAACCUUGGUAAGGAUGAUCUACUGUUCUAUUGGGGAGGCUAACGGAAUCUAGACACCACAAAGGAUGUUCUACCCGCACCUAUAAACCAUAUCCUUCCUGCUAAUGAAAUAUGGUCUGCAAAGGUAACUCGGAAUUGUCACGUUCCUCACUACUACCACGGUCCAGCUAGUCAGGGAAUAUCUAUGAGUACCCCAGCCUAAACACCACGUUUACGCCAGCAAUGAUUACUCUAAACUCUACGCGAAGAGAUUAAAGUAAACUCAUAAACCAGAAGAACAAUAAAACAAGAACUUACUAGAAUUUAGAAGUCAAAAUACUGAAGAAUCCUAGGAGCAAGCUUCGGGUUAGGAGAACUUGAUCCCGCAGGUACAAGCUUGGAGUAGACACCGACAGGCCGGGCUUCCUCCAAUCUACACCUCCACUCUAUCUCUCUCAAUCUAGUAGAAACUAGAAGAUCUAUUUCUACUUUACAUUGGUUGCUAAGCCUAAAAAGAAAUAUUAAUUAGAGAAGAGGUUUUCCUUCGAGGGCACCCCUCAAUCUCUAUGAUAAUUUCUUGUCUUCUCCAGGGGCCAGGGGGGUCUCCUUAUAUAGUCCUCCUCCUCUAUGCGUUUUUGGGUCGGUAGGUGAGGUGGUACUACAUUAUCUUUGAUCCAUUAGGUCGGUGGAACAUCGUGUGCGAAGAGAGUCCUGAAUGGAGUCCAGCAGGGGGCGGGCGCCCAGCUCACCAGGGCGGGCGCCCUGGGCCUGGCCCCUUUCGGCCUCUGCCUUCUUCCCGUGGCUUCUGGAGUCCUCUAGAUGGUAGAAAAUCGCGCGGUGCGUUGAUAUCUCUAUGUAAUCCCGACAUGUGGUCCUUUCUUCCUUAUUUCUUGAUAACCCUCUGCAGAAACAGAUAAACAACAAAACUCGUGGAAUUCUGUCAGAUCAAACCCUAAUUCUAGGUGUUGGUUGCAUAUUGGUCCUUUCCCUUGUUUAUUUGAUAAUUAAAAUUGAUACUUAAGAACCGUCAACAAUAACCGGGAUGAAAGUGCAACCAUGAGGGCUAUAAUGGCUCUGGCUUUAGUCAAGUAUGAGUAACUUUUCUAGCUUGUUAGAGGUUACCCGUGUGGCGCAAAUGGGGGAUAGCAGACCGUGGAUCCCCUGCGGGGUAGAAUCACAAGGACUGACUACCGAAACCAAGCGGCCCUAACCUGUUAGACGAACCUUUGAAAGACUUCAUAGUGAUCCCUGCCGACCUACCUUGGUAGUGGGUUACGAGGCUGAUCACCUCAGACGAAAGGGUAAAUCAUGACUCAUGGAUAAAGAUGUACAACCUCUGCAGAGUGUUAAAAACUGGUAUACUAGCCGUGCUCACGGUCACGAGCGGCCUUGGGAACUCUUACAUUAAGGGUGAUAAAUCUUGUGUUAAGAAACUCAUUGAUUAUUAUUUAAUGCUCUAUAUUAUUUAUGUCACAUUGAUCAUGAGAUUGUGGGAUCUAUACAAUCUAGUUGUUAUACUUGCGGAGUUCGUCAUAGACUCACUCUUGCUAUCUCCCCCACACCUCAGGAGAAGUAUUGGGCUUGUGAUCAACCAGUCAGUUGGAUCCUGUAGAGUGAGGUUAACACCCGAAGUUUGGAGUUCUCUUCCGUGGUUUCCUGCCUAAGGUUGUUUCUGAUUUAUUAUGUACGCUAUAUAAUUUAUGCGUUGUCCUUUGAUAUUACCCCUUAUUUGUAGCUAUAUGUGAGGUUUGUCUUCUAAAACUCACAUAUGGUGCAUAUCUGAUUUUGUUCUUAAAAUCGGGUGUUACGAAGUGGUAUCAGAGCAAUGCUGACUGUAGGACGCAAGCCUAGUUAGAACCAGACAUUUUAGAAUGCUUCUAUCUCUGCUUACUUCUUGCUUUCACCUUAACCUUGAUAAUUGCUAAAAUUUAUGCUUACCUCUGCCCUAUUCUGUUAUAAAACUUUGUCUUUAUUCUAAAUCCAACCACAUUGCCUAUUUAGAUGGCUCAUAAUGAGGAGAUAUUUUGGCAUGAAUGAACAAAAGGACUCAGAGAUGCCACCCGUAAAAGCAUUCGACAAGGAGAAGCUUAUAGCCAUGCAAAAGCAAGUAGUGGAAGGAAUGACUCAGAUUGGGAACUCUCAGCAGUGCAUCUCAGGACCAGUGAAGAGACAAGUAGCAGAAGUUUGGAAAAAUAUGAGAACUCAUGAAGGUGUUGGUAGUAGUACAUCGGGAUAUCAAGAUCAAUGCCAUUGUUGUAGGCAUUAUGGUCUUCCUUGUCGUCGGAAUAGGUCAUCUAAAAAGGAAGUUAAGGUAACAUCAAAUGGUGUGACUAAUGAGGAUAAGAAGAGGAAGGCAAAAUCACUAGAGCCAACAUUGGGAAGUGAACAACAUCCAAAUCCUAUGUUGUCACAUUUAGCUUUGAACUCUGGCCAUGAAAAUCCAAACCUUGGAGAUGAAGAAACUUCUCAAGCUAACCCCACUGCUCAUGAGGUAUACAUAGAUGGAUGGACAAUCACUUAUAAAGAGUUUCAACCUCGAAGGAUCAACCAAGUUAGGAAGAAAGCUAGCCAGCUAGAGACAAACCUUCAGAGUCAGCGAACUGAUAACACACCGAGCAACACCUCAGUGGAAGAUGAUAUCACGAAGGAUCCAGCUAAGAAAAAGUGUUAUCACUGCCGACAGGAAGGACACUAUGUAAAGUCUUGUCCACAGAAGAACCAACAGUAGUAUCAUGAAAGAAGCCAUAGUGAGUUUAAGAUAUAGGAGUUUGUGCCCUUGCGUAAUAAAAACGCUAGUAGCGAAAGUCGAGUUUGUGUGCCUUGUGAACCUUUACUGCUUGGUUGUAUUGUCUUUAUGUUUAUGUUUGAUUUGGAUCUUUGUAGUGAGUGUAAUGAUCUUGUGAGUUUCUUCACAAUUUCAUUUAGUUUAUAUGUCUAAGGCAUAAGGGUUAAUGACAUAAAUAGUUGGGUAUUGGUUUUUCUCUUGUUACCUUAUCGUGCCUUUCUAGAGUAUCUCAUCUUUAUCAAUUUAUGUCUCUGUUCUUGAAUGACCAAAAAUCAUGAGAAAAUUCUGGAUGAUAGUGGACUUCAAGAUUUUUCUCUGACCUCAAGAAUCACCCCCAUAGCUAUUUUGGAAUUGGAGUUAUGAAAAUCACAAGAAGAUACAAUUGUGCUGUCGAGAACUUGGACCAGUUUUGGUUGCUUACUGUUUGGGACAAAUACAACUAUAGAUUUUGGAAAGGUGUUCUACAGCAAAGUUUUAGAUAAGUUGCCCAGCUUUCUAACAGUAUAAGCUAUAACCCUAUUGGAUUAAUAGAACAAGAGUUAUGUCCAUUUUACUGUGCUGGUGAUGUUCUUAUCGCGAGGAAAUUUCAGGAUAUUUAAUUCUUCCUUGCACGUAAGUUCCUUGGGAUGUCAAAAGGUCUCAGUGCAAAAUAAAUUGUCAAGAAAAAGCGCAAGCUACCUUCCUUGUGCCUCCUAGUCGACCUUUCUUAAGGGGGGUAGAACCUUGAUAUCACGGGUUGAUGCAUUUUCAACUUAUCUUGAAGUGAGAGUUGUCUCGUGAGAUAUUCUAUGAAUAUGAUCUCUCCUUCUCGUGUCAUUGAUGUUGGUAACUUGAUGACAGGGAGUGUAGUAUCCCAUGGAUCAGGAGCCCUAUAUGAUGCCUCUUACUGAUACGUGGGAAGAGAAUGAUGAUCCUACCCUUGAUGGAUGUUAUGAGUAUGAUGAAACUGAGUUCUAUCAAAACAAUGAUACUGAAGAUCAAGUUGGAAGUGAAUCAAAUCAGAAUCCACAACGGCGAAAGAGAAAAAGGAAAAGCUGUAAGAAGUCUGCUCAUGGAAGUAGGGUGCAACGAGACCAUAUCAAUGGGAGACUGAGCAAUGUGGAUAGGCAUAACAUUCAUGGAGCUACCAAAGUGGUUGGUGGCUAUAUUCAAGUAGACUCAGUGCAAGUUUUUGCUCUGUUUGACCUGAGUGCUUCGCAUUCUUUCAUUUCUGCUGACUUGGUAAAGACGAUCGAGUGGGUGAAGUGCCCAACGAGGAAGCCUUUACUAGUUCAAACCCUAGUGGGAGAAAUACAAGUAGAUCAGGUGUGCUCAAAUAUCAAUUUGGUCAUAAACAAGGAGAACUUCACUGUAAACCUCAUUGUGCUAGAGUCACUUGGUAUUCCCUUGGUCCUUGGUAAUGGAUGGUUGUGUGCACACAAAGGAGUGAUCUAUGGUACCCAGUACAAAAUGCUCUUAACAGCACCAUCAGGAAAGAGAAUUGAGUAUCACGGUGGUCCACUCCUAUCUAAGGAGGCAAAUGCAUAUUAAGUUUCCAUGUCUCUUGGAGUUGUAAUCUAAAAGAAAUUAGUAGUCAAGAUGGACUUUGCUCAAUUAUGAAUAAUAGUUAUUCAAUGGAAAUAUUAUUCAUGAGAUGUGACCUUGAGGUAUAAGUGUUUACAUUUGGUAUGCAAGUUGUGAACUUGAAAGGGUUAUGAAGAUAUUUUUCUGUUUCUCUUAAAGGAUCUGAGCCUCUUCCGAAUCUCGAGGACGAAAUUCAUUUUAAGGGGGGUAGAAUUGUAACACCCUAAAAAUUCCCUUCUUUAAAAUAGUUGAAAUUCGAUCUAUGGUGUCAAUUUUGUGAGCAUCAAAAUAUAGGAAAAAUAAUAAUUUUUGUUAAAUUAAAAUUAAAUAUAAGUUUAGAAAACUUUUUGAUGCAUUCAUGCUGCAGCACUUUUAUUUUGUGAUGUGUGAAUUUUUGUAAAAGAAAAUUUGUUCAAAAUUCAAUUUGAAUGAAGCUUUAAAAAUUAGUUUGAAAAAAAAGAAGAAAUCCAUCCCCCCGCUUUCGGCAAACUUGGCCCAAACCAGCCCAACGCCAGCACCCUCCUCUCCCCCUUCCUCUCUCUCACUGCCAGGCGGGGCCCGCCUGUCAUCCCUCUCCUCCCGCAACUGCUCCCUCCCUCUCUCUGUUCUCAGCACAACCGCCCGAGCCGCCCCGCUCCCACGUUCUUCACCCCUUCUUCCCCUGCGCCUCGGCUAUUUCGAACUGCACCCGCACCCGAGCCUUCAUCCGUGCCUCAAUUCGCUCUGCACUCGCCCCUGCCCCCGCUCGCUACGCGCAGUAGCCGUUGCAAGGACACCGCCGGCGACCUCUAUGCGAAAUCCAUCGGGCCAAGCCGUCCUCGCCGUUUCUGUCGCGCUGGUGAGCUCUCCUACCUUCCCUGCAUUCUUCUCGGCCAAGUCCUAGGCUUUUGCGUGCCCCUAGCCUCCCAGCCGCGAGCUCCGGCGAGCUCCAUGGCUGCCGGCCAUGGAGCGUGUCGCUCGGGUCUCUCCCCGGCCGCGCUGAGGGGAUGGGUGUGUUCGCAUCGUCCUUCUCUCCCCCCCGUGCUUUCGGAAUCGAAAACCGUGCACCGUAGCUCCCGAUCCAUUUGCGCCGGCGAGCUUUGGCCGGAAUCCAUGGCCACCGCCGUGUCUCUGCCACGCUCUGGCCGGUGUGCCACCCCCUCCCUCUCUCUCUUUUUUUUCUUUUUUUUUCUUUUAAUCAAGCGCAUCCAAGCUUGAUCCAACGGCCAUGAUUAGAACUUACCCCUUCGCGGGGAUUUUUAUUAAAGAGCCCCUCGACUUCAUAGAUAUAGAACCCGCAGUCCUCGGCCAACUCCAGAUCCAGAUUGAAAUUUGAUUUAAAUUUCAUUUUCGACUUCAAAUUAAUUACAGAAUUGCCACUUCAAUGUUUUGGCCAUAAAAUAUUCGUUUUAGCUCCGAUUUGACCCGUUCAAAUUGCGUUAGAUUCGUUUUUACGAGAUCUACAUGUUAGUAAUCUUGGUUCAUCAGUUUGAAAUAUUUUAAUUUUGUGACCCUAUUUAAUUAAUUACUUUUCUAAAGAAAAUCUUAGAAAAUUCAUAUCUUCUCUGUUUUAGCUCCGAUUCGAUCUGUUCAAGUUGUGUUAGUUUCAUAAUUUUAUAAGCUUCACGUUGGUAUCAUUGUUGCCUAGGUUCACCACUGUUAGAUUUCCUAGUUAAAUACAAGUCCGUAGAUAGCCUUUGCAGUCCCGUUUAAUGCGUAGAUUUCACGUCGUAACUCCGUUUUCCGUGAAUUUCCUGUUGACGUGAUCGUAGCAGCGUGUAGAUGAUUUUGGAAAACUUUUAUUAAAUUUAUUUACUGCUGGUGUACUGUUCUAAUUGCAAUCUUGUUUGCUUCGUGUAUGUCUGUCUUCGAUUGCUAGUGUGUUGACGAUUGGUGACCGAGUUUUGGUCAGUGGGCAUUACUUCGGUGAUCAAGGUCAGAGCCGUGGAAGCAAGUAAGAUCAGCAGGACUAGCAGGAGCAAUUUGAUUAAGGCAAGUAUAGCAUUUGGGUUUUAAUUCUAUGACUAUGAUCUUGUGACUAGACUAAUAUAAAGCAACAAAUGAUAAUAAUGACUUUUUAGCAACUUGAGGAUUUAUUCGUAAGUGAUAACCGGGAUGAAAGUGCAACCAUGAGGGCUAUAAUGGCUCUGGCUUUAGUCAAGUAUGAGUAACUUUUCUAGCUUGUUAGAGGUUACCCGUGUGGCGCAAAUGGGGGAUAGCAGACCGUGGAUCCCCUACGGGGUAGAAUCACAUGGAAUGACUACCGAAACCAAGCGGCCCUAACCUGUUAGACGAACCUUUGAAAGACUUCAUAGUGAUCCCUGCCGACCUACCUUGGUAGUGGGUUACGAGGCUGAUCACCUUAGGCGAAAGGGUAAAUCAUGACUCAUGGGUAAAGAUGUACAACCUCUGCAGAGUGUUAAAAACUGGUAUACUAGCCGUGCUCACAGUCACGAGCGGCCUUGGGAACUCUUACAUUAAGGGUGAUGAAUCUUGUGUUAAGAAACUCAUUGAUUAUUGUUUAAUGCUCUAUAUUAUUUAUGUCAUAUUGAUCAUGAGAUUGUGGGAUCNNNNNNNNNNNNNNNNNNNNNNNNNNNNNNNNNNNNNNNNNNNNNNNNNNNNNNNNNNNNNNNNNNNNNNNNNNNNNNNNNNNNNNNNNNNNNNNNNNNNAUAAGGGGUAUAUCAAAGAACAACGCAUAAAUUACAUAGCGUACAUAGUAAAUCAGAAACAACCUUAGGCAGCAAACCACGGAAUAUAACUCCAAAGUUCGGGUGUUAACUUCACUCUACAGGAUCCAACUGACUGGUUGAUCACAAGCCCAAUACUUCUCCUGAGGUGUGGGGGAGAUAGCAAGAGUGAGUCCAUGACGAACUCCGCAAGUAUAACAACUAGAUUGUAUAGAUCCCACAAUCUCAUGAUCAAUGUGACAUAAAUAAUAUAAAGGAGUAAACAAUAAUCAAUGAGUUUCUUAACACAAGAUUCAUCACCCUUAAUGUAAGAGUUCCCAAGGCCGCUCGUGACUGUGAGCACGGCUAGUAUACCAGUUUUUAACACUCUGCAGAGGUUGUACAUCUUUACCCAUGAGUCAUGAUUUACCCUUUCGCCUGAGGUGAUCAGCCUCGUAACCCACUACCAAGGUAGGUCGGCAGGGAUCACUAUGAAGUCUUUCAAAGGUUCAUCUAACAGGUUAGGGCCGCUUGGUUUCGGUACUCAGUCCAUAUGAUUCUACCCCGUAGGGGAUCCACGGUCUGCUAUCCCCCAUUUGCGCCACACGGGUAACCUCUAACAAGCUAGAAAAGUUACUCAUACUUGACUAAAGCCAGAGCCAUUAUAGCCCUCGUGGUUGCACUUUCAUCCCGGUUAUCACUUACGAAUAAAUCCUCAAGUUGCUAAAAAGUCAUUAUUAUCAUUUGUUGCUUCAUAUUAAUCUAGUCACAAGAUCAUAGUCAUAGAAUUAAAACCCAAAUGAUAUACUUGCCUUAAUCCAAUUGCUCCUGCUGGUCCUGCUGAUCUUACUUGCUUCCACGGCUCUGACCUUGAUCACCGAAGUAAUGCCCACUAACUAAACUCGGUCACCAAUCAUCAACACACAAGCAAUCGAAGACAGACAUACACGAAGCAAACAAGAUUGCAAUUAGAACAGUACACCAACAGAUCAAAAAUGAAAUAAAAUAUUUAAAAACAGAACCUACGUUUCGCUACGAUCACAUAGAUACGAAGAUCACGAAAAUCGGAGCUGAAACGACCAAAUUACGGAUUUACGGCGAUUUCCUAUAGCUAUUUAAUUAAUUAAACCUAACCCUGAAAUUAAAAAGUUGCAAACUACAUAAACAGUGGUACUAACAUGUAGAGAAUUUAAUUACGAAUCUAACGCAAUUUGAACGGGUCAAAUCGGAGCUAAAAUGAAUAUUUUAUGGCCAAAACAAUGCAAUGGCAAUUCUGUAAAUUUCUGAAAACGCCUUUUGACCUAAACCGACGCAAUUUACGUUUCCUAAACAGCAAAGCGUAUUUCUAACGAAUACGCUAAGGACAGCGGGUUGUUUUGGAAAAAACAUAGGGUCUCUUUAGCAAUUUUACCCUUGAAGUGGUACGGGGCGCCCUGGACCGUCCGAUUAGAACUCAACGGCCCAGAUCGCAAAAUGAGAAAGAGAGAGAGAAGCAGGGGGCGCGGCCGCCGGAGGGGAGGGAGGGCGCGGCGGCGCCGCCAUGGCCGCGGCGAGCAAGCUCGCCGGAGAACUCGCGCAGGCGCUACGGAGCUCGGUUUCACGAACUAAACACACCGGGAGAGAGAGGAGAUCGCGGCGAAUCCAACACGGGGCAUAACGCGUCCAGAGGGGCGGCUUUCAAGGAGGCCGACGGUGGCGCCCUGGCCGGCCCCGUCGGUGCUCCUAGGACAUCCACUAGAGGCGCUAAAAACCAAAGAAAAUGGGUCAGGGAAGGAGAGGGAGGUGGAGCGCGCUCUCCACGACGAGGAACGGGAGCAGAGGCGGCUCGGAACGGUGGCUUUCGUGCGGAGGGUCGCGGCGGAGCUCCGGCGUCGGGUUGCGCGCAGCAGGCGAAAACGGAGGCGAGGGGGGAAUGGGGAAGGGAGUGCUCGGACGCGCGGGUGCUCUCCUCUUGAAGCCGAAACGCGGGGGGGGGGAGAUCGUGGGCGUGGGGGGGCGCGGCUUGCGGUUCCUGAACUGAGAGAGGGGGAGGAGGCGGUUUGGAUGGAGGAGAGGGGAAGGGGGUAAGAGGGUGGCCGGCUGGGCCACGGCCCAGGAAGGGAGAAGGGGGGCGCGGGGUGGGCUGGGCCAGCAGGCCGAGAAGGAGGGGGGAACUGGAUUUCUUCUUCUCUUUUUUUCAAACUAAUUUUCAAAGCUUCUUUCAAAUUGAAUUUUGAAUAAAUUUUUUUUUACCAAAAUUCACACAUCACAAAAUAAAAGUGCUGCAGCAGGAAUGCAUCAAAAAGUUUUCUAAACUUAUAUUAAAUUUUAUUUUCCCAAAAUUUUAUUAUUUUUCCUAUAUUUUGAUGCUCACAAAAUUGACUCAAUAAAUCAAAUUCAACUAUUUAAAACAAGGGAAUUUUUAGGGUGUUACAAUUCUACCCCCCUUAAAAUGAAUCUCGUCCUCGAGAUUCGAAAGAGGCUCAGAUCCUCUAAGAGAAACAGGAAAAUAUCUUGAUAAUCCUUUCAACUUCACAACUUGCAUACCAAACUUAAGCACUUGUCUCAAGGUCACACCUCAUGAACAACAUUUCCAUUGAAUAACUAUUAUUCAUAGUUGACCGAAGUCCAUCUUGACUACUAAUCCUCUUAUCUUACAACUCCAAGAGACAUAGAAACUUAAUAUGCAUUUGCUUCAUCAGGUAGGAGUGGACCACCGUGAUACUCAAUUCUUUUUCCUGACGGUGCUGCUAAGAGCAUUUUGUACCGGGUACCAUAGAUCACUCCUUUGUGUGCACACAACCAUUCAUUACCAAGGACCAAGGGAAUACUAAGUGACUCUAGCACAAUGAGGUUUAUAGUGAAGUUUUCCUUGUUUACGACCAGAUUGAUAUUUGAGCACAACUGAUCUGCUUGUAUUUCUCCCAGUUGGGUUUGAACUAGUAAAGGCUUCUUCGUUGGACACUUUACCCUCUCGAUUGUCUUUAUGAGGUCGGUGGAAAUGAAAGAAUGCGAAGCACUCGGGUCAAAGAGAGCAAAAACUUGCACUGAGUCUACUUGAAUAUAGCCACCAACCACUUCGGUAGCUCCAUGAAUGUUAUGCCUAUCCACAUUGCUCAGUCUCCCAUUGAUAUAGUCUCGUUGCACCCUACUUCCAUGAGCAUACUUCUUACAGCUUUUCCUUUUUCUUUUUCGCCGUUGUGGAUUCUGAUUUGAUUCAUUUCCAACUUGCUCUUCAGUAUCAUUGUUUUGAUAGAACUCAGUUUCAUCACACUCAUAACAUCCAUCAAGGGUAGGAUCAUCAUUCUCUUCCCACGUAUCAGUAAGAGGCAUCAUAUAGGGCUCCUGAUCCAUGGGAUACUACACUCCCUGUCAUCAAGUUACCAACGUCAAUGACACGAGAAGGAGAGAUGAUCAUAUUCAUAGAAUAUCUCACGAGACAACUCUCACUUCAAGAUAAGUUGAAAAUGCAUCAACCCGUGAUAUCAAGGUUCUAUCCAAGCUUGAUCCAACGCCCAUGAUUAGAACUUACCCCUUCGCGGGGAUUUUUAUUAAAGAGCCCCUCGACUUCAUAGAUAUAGAACCCGCAGUCCUCGGCCAACUCCAGAUCCAGAUUGAAAUUUGAUUUAAAUUUCAUUUUCGACUUCAAAUUAAUUACAGAAUUGCCACUGCAAUGUUUUGGCCAUAAAAUAUUCGUUUUAGCUCCGAUUUGACCCGUUCAAAUUGCGUUAGAUUCGUUUUCGCGAGAUCUACAUGUUAGUAAUCUUGGUUCAUCAGUUUGAAAUAUUCUAAUUUUGUGACCCUAUUUAAUUAAUUACUUUUCUAAAGAAAAUCUUAGAAAAUUCAUAUCUUCUCUGUUUUAGCUCCGAUUCGAUCCGUUCAAGUUGCGUUAGUUUCAUAAUUUUAUAAGCUUCGCGUUGGUAUCAUUGUUGCCUAGGUUCACCACAGUUAGAUUUCCUAGUUAAAUACAAGUCCGUAGAUAGCCUUUGCAGUCCCGUUUAAUGCGUAGAUUUCAAGUCGUAACUCCGUUUUCCGUGAAUUUCCUGUUGACGUGAUCGUAGCAGCGUGUAGAUGAUUUUGGAAAACUUUUAUUAAAUUUAUUUACUGCUGGUGUACUGUUCUAAUUGCA